AUGUACUCACCACGUACACUCCGUUUCCUGUGCUCCGUCCUCGCACAACCUGUCUUCGCUCGCUACGGUUAUUCAGUCC
rnacentral:sRNA from 1 species